CCUUCUUAAUGACUGCUUGAUUCCUUCUGUAGACGGUCAGUGUCAAGUGUCUGCCCAUGGCUCAGAGAAGUGCUUGGGUCUCACUGCUGACUGAGUGGCUGGGAAUGGGGACAAAGUUGGGCCUGUAUAAAAUGAAUAGCCCCCUCUGACCUACCUAAAAGCUUCUUCGUGCCUGGGUGAGAAUCUGGGGCUCUGGGAGUGCAGGGGAGGGACAGAGGGUACUGAGUGGUGCUUUGUUCAGGUGGGCUCCCAGCCAGAGCCUGGGCGCACAGAGCAGACUGUGUGGGCUCCAGAACACUGAAACCUCGGGGGGUGGAGGGGGCAAGAGGAGAAACACAAGUGGUGAGAGGCCUUGGCUUCGGCAAAAUUGAAAUAAUUAACCAUUAAGAAUGAGUGUCUUCAAAAGAGCGUAAUUGGGGAGAAUGAAGAGUCGUAGAGAAGCACAAAGAAGUGAUGUCGUAGAACAGGAACAGAAGGUUAUUAUCUGGAGACCGGUGGUGGAGGAACAAGUGCUUAAAUACAGAAAGGCCCCUUUCCUCCUUUGUGGAGGGCUACAGUCGCAGUGACUGAUAAUCGCUUAACUCCUCGGACUUCCUGAGCCUCAGUGCUGUUCUAAGCCCUGUGUAGCAGCUCUUCCAGUCACCCCGAGCUCAGGCUAUACUGGAACUUGAGACUCUCUCACCUCUACUCCUCAGAGUAUUUUGCCUGCCUGUGUAUAUGUGAACCACAAGUGUGUCUAUUGCUGAAGAAGGUGGUGAACCUCCAUGUGCGUGCUGGGAAUCGAACCUGUGUUCUUUACAAGGACAACAAUUGAGCUAACUCUCCAGUCCCUCAGACGCAACU
rnacentral:sRNA from 1 species